UUCUGACCCUCGGCUGUGACUCCCAGCCGCAUGCCCUGACGCACUUCCCCGGCGCCAGGUCGAUGCGGAUGGGGAUCAGAGCCGAGGAUCGGUCCCCG
rfam:Microbacterium testaceum StLB037 DNA, complete genome.